AAUGGAGAUUUAGGGUAUAUGUUAUGGCAGGAGAUGAUGCAGGUCGAAAAAAUCAAAACGGACGCAAGAAAUACACUCAGCCCAAUUAAGUGUAUAUGAUGUCAAUUUUUGUAAUGAGCUGAUAUAAAAGCUAGACCCAAAACUCAAAACAUGAAACAAACUAGUGCAACAAAAGAGGAGAAGUAGCGCUGAGCAAUGGAAAUUAUGAAACCAUGUGUCAUCUUUUGCCCUUAUGUUCUUACUGAGGUGGCAGCAGGAGGAGAGAAAAGUCUAAUUUAUUGUACUACUAGUGAUGUGUCUGGGCAUGAUUUUGUUUAUGUUGUUGUGUAUUAUGCAAUUGAUGGGUCUUUUUGGAUGGUGGUAAUUAUAGGGACCAAAUAUAUGUAAGAAAUUGUAUUGGUAUAUGUCAUUGUAGGUAAAAUAAUUUUAUAUAUAACCUGGGUUUUUUUUUGUUGAAUAAUGUUAGACUUUGUGUAUAUUAGGAAUUAUAAGUGUGUGUGUUUACGAAGCCGUUGAAAGUUGUUUUCUAAGGAAUUUGCAAUAAGGCAUGAUUUGACUGUGUGGUUAAUUGUUUGCAUGUUAAUUAUAGAUUUUAAUAUUUUUAAUUGUCUAACGUCAAAGUGCACACUAUUAUUUUUUUCAGCGUAUGUAUUUUUGGAUGAAAUGAA
rnacentral:lncRNA from 1 species